AUUGAACGCUGGCGGCACGCUUUACACAUGCAAGUCGAACGGCAGCACGGGGGCAACCCUGGUGGCGAGUGGCGAACGGGUGAGUAAUAUAUCGGAACGUACCCGGAAAUGGGGGAUAACGUAGCGAAAGUUACGCUAAUACCGCAUAUGCCCUAAGGGGGAAAGCGGGGGAUUCGCAAGAACCUCGCGUUUUCGGAGCGGCCGAUAUCGGAUUAGCUAGUAGGUGAGGUAAAGGCUCACCUAGGCGACGAUCCGUAGCUGGUCUGAGAGGACGACCAGCCACACUGGAACUGAGACACGGUCCAGACUCCUACGGGAGGCAGCAGUGGGGAAUUUUGGACAAUGGGCGCAAGCCUGAUCCAGCCAUGCCGCGUGAGUGAAGAAGGCCUUCGGGUUGU
rnacentral:rRNA from 1 species